rnacentral:lncRNA from 1 species
UGGCCUAUAAUAUAGUCAUUUGCACUAAGACAUAUCUUUGAGACCGAUUCGGUUGCCUUGGUCCAUUCCUUCUACCAGGCAUCCAACAUCAUAUGUUUUAUAUUGUGGUUAAUCACGGCCAACCCUUGAUUUUUCGGUCUAUUUGCCAACAUCCUGAUCGAAUUCUUCUUUUUCAACCUAUAUAACUGAAUCCUAUCCA